UAGGGAAUCUUCGGCAAUGGGGGGAACCCUGACCGAGCAACGCCGCGUGAGUGAAGAAGGUUUUCGGAUCGUAAAGCUCUGUUGUUAAGGAAGAACGAGUGUGAGAAUGGAAAGUUCAUACUGUGACGGUAGUUAACCAGAAAGGGACGGCUAACUACGUGCCAGCAGCCGCGGUAAUACGUAGGUCCCGAGCGUUGUCCGGAUUUAUUGGGCGUAAAGCGAGCGCAGGCGGUUAGAUAAGUCUGAAGUUAAAGGCAGUGGCUCAACCAUUGUAGGCUUUGGAAACUGUUUAACUUGAGUGCAGAAGGGGAGAGUGGAAUUCCAUGUGUAGCGGUGAAAUGCGUAGAUAUAUGGAGGAACACCGGUGGCGAAAGCGGCUCUCUGGUCUGUAACUGACGCUGAGGCUCGAAAGCGUGGGGAGCGAACAGG
rnacentral:rRNA from 1 species